GGUGGGAAGUACGGACAGGUGAUGAUACUUGCAAGAAGUUUCCUGCAAUCUCACUCUGUCACCUAGGCUAGAGAGCAGUGGUGAGAUCUCGUCUCACUGCAACCUCUGCCUCCCAGGUUCAAGCAAUUCUCCUGCCUCAGCCACCCAGGUAGCUAGGACUACAGGCAUGCGCCACCAUGCCCAGUUAAUUUUUGUAUUUUCAGUAGAGAUGGGGUCUCAACAUGCUGGCCAGGUUGGUCUUAAACUCCUGGCCUCAAGAGAUCUGUCUGCCUCAGCCUCCCAAAGUGCUGGGAUUACAGGCGUGAUCCACUGCACCCAGCCCUGAUUCACUGACUACUGAAACACCAGGAAUUCAAGGAUAAUAUCAGGAUUUACGUAGGUGAACUCCUUAAAAUCACAAAGUAAUAGUAGUGGUUUCAAUUGUCCAUUUUAAAGUAUCUACAAAAUCACUUUUUUGGUGUUAUAAUUCUUUUAAUGAGUUAAGUUGAAUAAAGGAAUAUAGCAAGUACUGAUACUAAAUAAAAACUGCUACCAAAUAUUUGACUUAUAAGACCAGUAUUAUUAUUAUUCAUGUGUUAUUAUUUUUCAUGGAUUUUUGAAGGCCACAAAUAUCUGAAAAACAUUUUAAUCUGGCCAGUUGAAAACUAGUGAAUUUCAACCAGAUGUUUUUAAUACCACUUUAAAAAUAAACUUCAGCCAUUUUA